UGGCUCAGACAGUAAAGCGUCUGCCUGCAAUGCAGGAGACCCAGGUUCAAUUCCUGG
rnacentral:tRNA from 1 species